AGCGAACGCUGGCGGCAGGCCUAACACAUGCAAGUCGAACGGACCUUUCGGGGUUAGUGGCGGACGGGUGAGUAACGCGUGGGAACGUGCCUUUAGGUUCGGAAUAGCUCCUGGAAACGGGUGGUAAUGCCGAAUGUGCCCUUAGGGGGAAAGAUUUAUCGCCUUUAGAGCGGCCCGCGUCUGAUUAGCUAGUUGGUGAGGUAAUGGCUCACCAAGGCUACGAUCAGUAGCUGGUCUGAGAGGAUGACCAGCCACAUUGGGACUGAGACACGGCCCAAACUCCUACGGGAGGCAGCAGUGGGGAAUCUUGCGCAAUGGGCGAAAGCCUGACGCAGCCAUGCCGCGUGGAUGAUGAAGGUCUUAGGAUUGUAAAAUCCUUUCACCGGUGAAGAUAGUGACUGUAGCCGGAGAAGAAGCCCCGGCUAACUUCGUGCCAGCAGCCGCCGUAA
rnacentral:rRNA from 1 species